rnacentral:lncRNA from 1 species
GAAAAAGUUUAGUUUUUUCGAUAUGUUUUACGAAUCUUGCUCAUGUCCUUUAUUUUAUACUUUCUACUUACUUGGGCAUUUUUCUUGGUCAAGCACUUCAGCUCCUAAAAAGCUUAUUCACACAAAUUUGAUAUUCUUAGGAGUUGACAGAUGAUGUGGCCGAGUUUAAAAGAAAAUCAUCACUCAUGAUUCUCACAUGGGCCUCUCCACUGCAUCGCCAGUAAGUGGUUUUAUUUUUCUUGAAUAUAAAUUUUGUAUUUUACUUACUGGUGGUAUGAAUCCAAUAUUUGGUAUUCUGAUUGAACAUGGGAUAUAGUUGAACCCAGUGAUGUGAAUUUUUUGGAGUACUGUGAAAUUUGGAGAGUAGAAUGAGGUGUGUUAGGCUGGAUUGUAUUCGGAAGAUGUUGAACAUUAUCCUUUGGUGUAAUUGUUAUAUUGGUUUUGUACGUUCUACUACGAUACCACUAUAAUUGGAGGAUUUGUAAUAGUAUUUGACUUAUAUAAACCAUAGUCUGUAAUUGAUUGAAUGGGGAAGCAAUGUAACAGUUCUUUAAAAGUAGAUACAUGUACCAGGGUUCUGGGGAGGAUUAUUGUUACGGCGACUCUACUUCUUGUAUUAUUAUAUGCCCUUCCAUGUUAUAUUUUCAGUGAUUUCACUAUUUCGUAGAGUUAGAGACCAAUCCGUGCAAGCGAAAAAGUUGUGGUAUUAAAUUCAAUCAAUACAAAGAUUAUCUUAUGUGAAAUUUUAUUGAAGAGAAGAAUCAAAAAUUAUUUAAUUGGUUGUCUUUUUAACUUAUAAGUGGGAAUUAACUCAAAUAAAAGUCUUCUGUGGGGAGGUUAAGUAGCAAUGUUGUUAGAUUGUCAAAGUCUACAUUGUUUUCUGCUCUUUUUUACGCCUUCUGCUGCAUAGAAUCCCAUACUUAUUCUCUUGAUAGUUUAUUAGGGGGAAUAUGAUACAUGCUUGUUCUUUUGAAUCCCAAGCCAACUUGUUUGUAAUUGUUCCAUUUGUAUUGUUGAUUCCAUUGUGUCAUGGUAUUGGUUUCUAAAUGAAUUUCAUAUCUUAUAUUCACCACUAUUUUUGUGGGAAGUGCUUGUAGAUUGCUAGAAGCCAAAAUGUAUCAUUUGUGUAUGCAUUGUGCCAUAAAUGUGCCAGCCUGAAAGAAAUAAUAUAUUGUGUUCAGAACUACUUUAAAAUGUUCUAGUCCGCCGUGUUUAACAUUUGGUUAAGCUUUAAUAAAAUAAUGCAUAUGUUGUGAAAUGAAUAUAACAAAAGAUUUUAUUCUUUUCAAGAAACACAAUAUUGAGCAAUUUUUAAAUUUUUAUUCCUCAAUAUUUUAUCAAUGUAUCGUUGUUUUCAAAAAGUUUAUAGUGUCUCAAUCUUUUGGCCCACUGUAACCUGUGGUUCAAUGGUAAUUUUCAUGUAUAUGUGUGCUCAUUCUUGUUGAUAUUUUCUGGUGAUUUAUUCUGAAAUUUUGUAUUAUUUCGACCAACUACCUUGUUUGUAUUUGUGAGGUCCUAUCCUUAACGUGCUUGAAUUAUUCUGAAAAUAUCAUGUAGGGUAUUUCCUGAGUGAUUUAUUAAGUAAAAGAAUAUUUUCUAUUUCAGGUGGAGACCAUAAAUUUUGCACUGGAGGAAUUUCUGGACAAGAAUGAAAUAAUUCAAGAAUGCAGAUCUCUUAAUGAAUGUCUUAUUAAAUUGUAAGCUUCUGAUUCUCUCAUCAUGCUAAAAUUUUAUAAUAAUUGCUUUUGAUUCUUCUUUAUUCCAUUUUAUAUAUAGUUCUAGACUACUACCAUAUCAUCCCUUUUAAUAAAUUUCCCUAGCAUAAUUUGGUCACGAGAACAAUUUUUAGCUCAUUGUUGCACUAAUUAUUUUUCAAGCUUUCAACCAAGAGCAAGUCUUGCGAAAAAAUAUACUAGACAAGAAAUUCGAAAGUUCAAGAAAUUGAUGACACAGCAAUGGGAUUCAGGCUUCUGAGGUUGCACGGGUAUAAGGUUUCUGCAGGUAGAGUUUUUGACUUCUAGAAAUGAUGACGGCGAAGUAAUGUAAAUGACAAAAGUACAAUUCACCAAGGUUUGUUGGGAUUGUAUCAUUUCUUUUGGAUUAAAAUGGCAGAAGUAAUGUUAUAAUUUCACGAAAAUCUUAUCUAUAAGUAUGCUGGCGUGUGCUAUUUAGGGAAAGAAUGUAUCUGAUUGUUGUUGUUUUGCAGGCGAAGUGUCUAGCAUAUGCAAAAUGUGUUCUUCAAUUGUCUCUAAACUAUCUUUGUUGCAUAUAAUUCUGAAACAUAGGAUGACAAUUUUCUAGGAUCUAUGAAUCUUUGUCACGAGGCAAAUAUGUGAAGCGGCCAAUUACAUAAUUAGUUUAAAAUGCAUUUAAAAAAAAGUAAUGAUAUUUAUGAGUAAAUAGGCAAAAAUUGAUAGGUUUACGUCUUUUUGAUAUGUAAUUAUUUUAUGAAUUUCUUUGUCCUAUUUGAUACCCUAUAAAUCAUGGCAUUUAAUUAAAAUUUUACGAGUUAAUAAAUGUUUUUAAUGAAAUUAAUGUGAACUUACGAUGUUCAUCUUUGACAUGCUUUAUAUGUUAACCAAUAUGUUUCCUCAUUUUCAAGGAUUGGUGCUUGCAACCCUCCUUGUCAUUACUCCUUGUGUUGUGCAUCAAUGCAAUGUCACUUAUGGACUCUUGAAUGGUGAAUGAGUUUUGCUAUUGUUUUUUUCAACCAAAAUGUUGCCUUGUGCAAGAAUUUGGGUCUUGAGGAAGGAUAUGUGGCA